rnacentral:rRNA from 1 species
AGCGAACGCUGGCGGCAGGCCUAACACAUGCAAGUCGAGCGGCCGUAGCAAUACGGCAGCGGCAGACGGGAGAGUAACACGUGGGAACGCGCCCUUCGGUUCGGAAUAACUCAGGGAAACUUGGGCUAAUACCGGAUACGCCCUUACGGGGAAAGAUUUAUUGCCGAAGGAACGGCCCGCGUCCGAUUAGCUUGUUGGUGAGGUAACGGCUCACCAAGGCAACGAUCGGUAGCUGGUCUGAGAGGAUGACCAGCCUCACUGGGACUGAGACACGGCCCAGACUCCUACGGGAGGCAGCAGUGGGGAAUAUUGGACAAUGGGCGCAAGCCUGAUCCAGCCAUGCCGCGUGGGUGAUGAAGGCCCUAGGGUUGUAAAGCCCUUUCGGCGGGGAAGAUAAUGACGGUACCCGCAGAAGAAGCCCCGGCUAACUUCGUGCCAGCAGCCGCCGUAACAC